rnacentral:rRNA from 1 species
AUUGAACGCUGGCGGCAGGCCUAACACAUGCAAGUCGAGCGCGCGGCGGACGGGUGAAUAAUGUGUGGGGAUCCGCCAGGGAGGGGGGGAUAACUACUGGAAAGUGGGGCUAAUAGCGCAUACUAUCGGAUGCACCCAUAGGGGAUUAGCUAGUAGGUGGGGAAAAGGCUCACCUAGGCGACGAUCUCUAGCUGGUCUGAGAGGAUGAUCAGCCACACUGGGACUGAGACACGGCCCAGACUCCUACGGGAGGCAGCAGUGGGGAAUAUUGCACAAUGGGCGCAAGCCUGAUGCAGCCAUGCCGCGUGUAUGAAGAAGGCCUUAGGGUUGUAAAGUACUUUCAGCGGGGAGGCGUUACCCGCAGAAGAAGCACCGGCUAACCCCGUGCCAGCCGCCGCGGUAAUUC